rnacentral:rRNA from 1 species
CCUACGGGAGGCUGCAGUGGGGAAUAUUGCACAAUGUGGGAAACCCUGAUGCAGCAACGCCGCGUGAGUGAAGAAGUAUUUCCGUAUGGAAAGCUCUAUCAGCAGGGAAGAAGAUGACGGUACCUGUGUCCGAAUCCCCGGCUAACUACGUGCAAGCUGCGGUGGUUAUACGCAGGGGGCAAGCGUUAUCCGGAUUUACGGGGGGUAAAGGGAGCGUAGACGGGGAGACAGGUCCGGAGGGAAAGCCCGGGGCUCAACCCCGGGACUGCUGUGGAAACUGGCGGACUGGAGUGCGGGAGAGGCAAGCGGAAUUCCUAGUGUAGCGGUGAAAUGCGUAGAUAUUAGGAAGAACACCAGUGGCGAAGGCGGCUUGCUGGACAGUAACUGACGUUGAGGCUCGAAAGCGUGGGGAGCAAACAGGAUUAGAUACCCCUGUAGUC